rnacentral:misc_RNA from 1 species
GAUGAAGAACGCAGCGAAAUGCGAUACGUAAUGUGAAUUGCAAAUUCAGUGAAACAUCGAGUCUUUGAACGCACAUUGCGCCCCCUGGUAUUCCGGGGGGCAUGCCUGUCCGAGCGUCAUUGCUGCCCUCAAGCACGGCUUGUGUGUUGGGCCCCGUCCUCCGAUCCCGGGGGACGGGCCCGAAAGGCAGCGGCGGCACCGCGUCCGGUCCUCGAGCGUAUGGGGCUUUGUCACCCGCUCUGUAGGCCCGGCCGGCGCUUGCCGAUCAACCCAAAUUUUUAUCCAGGUUGACCUCGGAUCAGGUAGGGAUACCCGCUGAACUUAAGCAUAUCAAUAAGCGGAGGA